AGAGUUUGAUCAUGGCUCAGAGCGAACGCUGGCGGCGUGCUUAACACAUGCAAGUCGAGUGCGUGUUCGUAGCAAUACGGAUGACGCACGGCGCACGGGUGCGUAACACGUGGGCAAUCUGCCCUCCGAUGGGGGAUACCCCCGCGAAAGCGGGACUAAUACCGCAUGACAUUCCGGGAACUCCGGUUCCUGGACUCAAAGGCCGCAAGGCCGUCGGAGGAGGAGCCCGCGCCCGAUUAGCUUGUUGGCGGGGUAACGGCCCACCAAGGCUUUGAUCGGUAGCCGGUCUGAGAGGAUGGCCGGCCACACUGGAACUGAGACACGGUCCAGACUCCUACGGGAGGCAGCAGUGGGGAAUAUUGCGCAAUGGGCGAAAGCCUGACGCAGCGACGCCGCGUGGGGGAUGAAGCUUCUCGGAGUGUAAACCCCUUUCGACCCGGACGAAUGACCCGCAAGGGUUUGACGGUACGGGUAUAAGAAGCCCCGGCUAACUACGUGCCAGCAGCCGCGGUAAUACGUAGGGGGCCAGCGUUGCUCGGAAUUACUGGGCGUAAAGGGUUCGUAGGUGGUGCGGCAAGUUGGGAGUGAAAUCUCUGGGCUUAACUCAGAGGCUGCUUUCAAAACUGCCGUGCUCGAGUGCGGGAGAGGCCAGUGGAAUUGCAGGUGUAGCGGUGAAAUGCGUAGAUAUCUGCAGGAACACCCGUGGCGAAAGGCGGCUGGCUGGACCGCAACUGACACUGAGGAACGAAAGCUAGGGGAGCAAACAGGAUUAGAUACCCUGGUAGUCCUAGCCCUAAACCAUCAGAACUUGGGGUGGCCCGCGUAGGCGGGUCGUCCCGUAGCUAACGCGUUAAGUUCUGCGCCUGGGGAGUACGUCGCAAGACUGAAACUCA
rnacentral:rRNA from 1 species